rnacentral:rRNA from 1 species
GGAGUUAGCCGGUGCUUCUUCUGCGAGUAACGUCACAGAUGUAAGGUAUUAACUUACACCCUUUCCUCCUCGCUGAAAGUGCUUUACAACCCGAAGGCCUUCUUCACACACGCGGCAUGGCUGCAUCAGGGUUUCCCCCAUUGUGCAAUAUUCCCCACUGCUGCCUCCCGUAGGAGUCUGGGCCGUGUCUCAGUCCCAGUGUGGCUGAUCAUCCUCUCAGACCAGCUAGGGAUCGUCGCCUAGGUGAGCCUUUACCUCACCUACUAGCUAAUCCCACCUGGGCUUAUCCAUCAGCGCAAGGCCCGAAGGUCCCCUGCUUUCCCCCGUAGGGCCGUAUGCGGUAUUAGCAGUCGUUUCCAACUGUUAUCCCCCACAAAUGGGCAAAUUCCCAGGCAUUACUCACCCGUCCGCCGCUCGUCAUCUUCAAAGCAAGCUUUUGAAAUGUUACCGCUCGACUUGCAUGUGUUAGGCCUGCCGCCAGCGUUCAAUCUGAGCCAAGAUCAAAUUCUGA